UAAGGUCGCAGCUAGAUAAGUUGUUUAUAGUGAUUUUAUAGGUUCCAAGUGUAAAUGCAGUGAUGUAUGGUAGCUGAGGUAUCCUACAAGACCAAUUUAUUUGAAC
rnacentral:rRNA from 1 species